UGCUAAAUUGACCAAUGAAGAAUAAUACCUCCUAUCUUUUGUCCAGGGAAAAAAAUCGUUGAUACUUUCGGUGAUUUUCCUAUAGUUGAUUAUCAACCAUCAUUUUGCUCCACUACGGCAUGUCUUUCGCCGGAAGAAUCCCAUUGACACCUAACACCGAUUGCUCAAUCAUGAAAGUUUGCCCCUCAACACACUAACCGUGUGAAAAGCGCACACACUUGGGAAUUAUUCUUGUGUGCGCAAAUGCGCAAGGAAUAUAUAGAAAUCUUUGCUAGCUCCCCCAUGAUGAUCACAUUUUAAAUAGCACAUACGGCGUUACAAAUUUGACUCGUGCAAGCUAGGUCACAUUGCAGUUAACCCUCCCCUAAGUUCCAAGAAGAUAUGGUGUGAACUCGACCAUCUGUAAAAAGCCAAUAUUUUCCCUGUCAUUGGAUAUUGUAUCCUUUAUAAGCUAUGCCACUUUUGUGCCCUUUUUUUCCCCAUGAUGGAAAGCAAUCUAUUGAUGGUCCUUGCAGGUUUUCGACACCAUGUGUGCACUUUGAGUGAUAACAUGGAGAAGGAAUAACUGUGCGGCAAGCUGUAUCUUGGAUGCGUAUGAAAAGGAUCGACGGAUCGGAUCGAUCAAGUGGACCACUUUGGAUUGUGUGUUGGGGCUAUGAUGUUGCAGAAAACAGUUCCAGCUUGGACCAACGGUGCUCCACAUGUGUAGUGCACCCAUGUGGUCUCUCGGGUGACGUUUUUCGGUGGAGGAUGCUAAUCUUAAAAGGAAACAUCACUGUGAGUGAUCUGGCUGAAAAAUGAAGUGGCCCUGUUGUGU